UUACAGACUGCUUUUGACACUAGUUUGUACUUUGUUCAGCUUUUGGUAAUGGGUCACUAGGACCAGAAAUAGAUAUGCCUGAAGGUCAUGGGUGAAUUUCAUGUUUAUCCAUCAGUCAACAUUUAUGAUAGACUCAAUGAAGGCAUGGUUCUCUGCUAGGAAUCAGACUUUUAAAUCAUAUAACACAACAGUAACAACAAUGAUUGUGAUAUAACCCCUGCCUUUAGAUUCCAUCCUCUGAUUAAGAGAGAUGAGAUACAAACACCAACAUAACCCACAAAUACAAGGUAAUAAAAGGAUUUUAUAGGUUGUUCACACCAAAGAUCAAAACAUCAACAAAUGCCCAAACGUAAUUAUUGCUGUUGCCACUCUAGGACAGAAUGAGAAAAUAGGAAGAUAACUACACAGAGACAGGUCCUAUGAAAACAUCCAGGGUGAGAUGAAUGAAUUGGCAACGACCCUCCUCACAACUCAAGAAGGAAAUUCGGAAAAGGGCCAACUCCAACCAGCUAUUCUCUGAACUGACCCCAUUCACCUUGAAAUCAGAGCAUUGGAAGAAGAAAGAAGAAGGAAAAUCACGUGCAUGGCUAUGUCACUAUACGUAGCUGUGUAUAGCAGGGGGUAAGGGAGAUAUCUGUGUACAGAAGAGGAAACUGUGCAGUGGGACACGAGGCCAGACCUACCUCGGUGCUUAUGAUGAAAAUUAGAAGGAAAUAUUCCACUAAGAAAAUUACCCUGUACCUACACUGAAGGUUGGCUAAUUCUAGCCCAUAGAAUUAUCCCACAUCAUAAGUUCUCUCACUUGUGCUGGAUUGUAACUUUAGGUAUGUGGGCAGGCAAUUAAAAUUUUCCUGGGAUCACCCCACUUAACCUAGUGACAAUGAGGAGCAAGAUUUCCCCAUCUUAACAGCUAGUUCAGAGCCCAAGUGGCAGUCCACCAGCAGCUGAUGUGAGGAGAGGCUGAGUGGCAGUUCUAAUUGACCAUUUCUACCCAUGUUCCUCUAAGGAACAUACAAUACAAGCUGUCACAGCUUCCUGCCAAUCACAAGAAAUCUGACCUGGAGAAACCACUGUCUCAGAGUAAGGACUGUUUAUAUGUAUCCAAUGAAUUCCGUUUCCAUUACAUUAUCUUAUUUUUAGGCCAUUGUGGAGGAGAGCCUGCCUAAUCAUAUCAUAAAAUCACAAAUUUAGUAGAUUAUAGAUGAUGACUUCAAAUCUAAAUACGUCCUCUGGCUGCCCAAACAAGAGGCCAUUUAGCAUUUGACAUCUUCUAGUCUUAGAGCUGCAAGUUUUUUCUUUGAGGAUACUCGGGAGCUUUUGCAGAGUUGCAGCUUACCAAAUAUUUAGGAGGCAUGCUGUUUUAUGACACAGAGGGGGUAACAACAGUGCAUGUGUGUUCUGAUGUGCAAAGAAGAAAAUGCCUAUAUGAGCUGUUUUCCUAUAGCACAAAGGGUUAAGGCAACAUAGGAAAUUUAUGCAGACAAGUUGCAUGCCACAUUUACCUGUUUUUUCUCCUUUUACAGUCAAUGAGAGAUUUUCACUCUGACACAAUGUCAACAACACAUAUGUCAUAAGCAAUGGGGACUGGGAAGAAAGAGAAGUGCACAAAGGCAAACUAACUAGACAGACAGCAGCUCAUCAGUGCCACAUGCUCGUGCUUGGCUCCAGUGGAACAGCCUUGCCAUAAUAAGGCCAGACACACGAAUUUCUAAAUGGCUCUACAAGUGGUUAGUUAGCCAGGUGGCCACACACCUAUAGAAGCACUGACGGGAAAACUACAUGAGAAAACAUGGUGUUUCGGUUUGCAGCUGCCAUCCCUACUCCAUCAAGAAACAUAGUCAGUGCCUACUCUCCCAAAGUUAACAGGGGACUGGGUGGAAGAUGACAGAGCUUCAGAGUCCCCACCCAACUCAGCAGGAGGAAAGGGGGAGUUGUUAGACAAAGAAAUGCCCUUCCAAACUCUGCAUCCAUAAAUGGAAACAUACAGGUACGCUUCCAGUGUUCAGGCUUACAUCAGUUCAGCUUGUUUCUGAGCAGUGAUUAAUUCUGCAAGAAAGGACCUAUGGCAGCUUGUGUUAUUGUUUACAAAUAGUCAUGGUCUCCUCCCUGGAGAAGAAUUGUAUUUCACUUCCCUAUUGAUGGAGCUUGGCGAUGAGACCUGCUAUAACCAGUGGACUGUGCGGAAAGUGACACGCAGAAGCUUUAAGAGCCACUGUGUGCUCCCCAGGGCCUCUUUUCUCCCCUGUCAAUGACCAGCAAAGUCCCCAAGAGGAAUUUCUUUGUCAGUCUGGGUCCUGAAGUGAAAACAACAGAAAAGAGUAUUGAAGUUGACCCAAGAUGAAUAUAAGCAAAAAAUAACCUUUAUUGUUGUGAACCACUAAAAUUUUGUGAGUCAUUUCUUACUGACUCAUAACCUAGCCUAUUCUGACUAAUACAGUCACUUUAAAAAAGCUAAUAGUAAGGCAAGUUCUCACUUAAAGUCCUCGAUAGGUUUCUGGCACUAUGGUCAAAUGAAGUAUAACUAAACUAUUUUACCACAGGUUAAUUGAUAUAAGCAAGAGUUAAGUUCCUACCCAUCUCAUCAAUGUCAUAAUGAAACAAUCCUAAACUAAACAAUGUCAUCCAAGGACCUCCUGUAAAUCUAAAAGUAUGUGGCAGCUUUGCAUGAGAAGUUCAAGCAUUUGUUUUCCUCUUGUCAUGAUCUCUAUCUUACCUCUAGCCCCUUUGUGUUUGGAUUAGUUCUGUCCUUGGUUUGUUAGUCUGAUCUUUCUCAAGUGGGCUAUCAGGCAGGGCAAAUCUCUGGACCUCAGAUGUGAAUACAUGUUAGGCAGAUGAUGGCAUAGUUAAUUAAAUUGUAAGAAGUAAAUGUGGAUUAGAUAAUUAUAGAACAUGUUAUCCUCUUUGAAAAUCUGUUUAUUAUCUUUGCAAUGGAGACAUUUAGCUUUAUAAGAAGUGCAUACAUAGAUACUAUUUCAAUUUAGAAAGGCAUGGUCAGGGAGCCAUAUGGCAAGAAGGUCCUAUGAUAGAAUAACAUAACUUUGUUAGAGACUAUAUUUUUAAAAAAAUGUAUCACAAACUCAAAAUAGUUCGGAGUCAUGAUAUGUUCCAGAAAUCAGAGUAAAUUCUGGACGUCUAGGCAUAAAAUCCACUACACAGCAGGACACUUCAUCUCACUUAAUGCAAUCAUUGUACACCACUUGUGUUCUAUGUGCACAGCAUUAUUGUUUGCAGGAAACAGUUUUCAGGAUCCCCCAUGUUCCUUGUUAGUGGAAGAAAAUAUUCACCUGUAUCUCAUCCAAAGCUCGUAAAUUUUUGAAGUAUUCCUUUCCUUCAGAUUUUAAGAGCUAAUCACCUCAGCAAGCACAAUAUCUGGGUCUGAGUGGAUGUUUCUCAGCUUUAUCAGUUAUACCAUUAAUUAGAAAAGAGAAGAAGUGGCAAAGGAAGUUUAAGGUUUGUCCUCAUAGUUAGGAAACAACAUUCCAGAACCACAGAAUAUUGGAUUUGAAUAAGAAAAAGCAUCGGGGAGCCUGAGGCAUAGAAAGGUUUCAGGACUCACAAAUGGCUGCAGAUCACAGUCCAGAGCUUUGGCGCCUUCCCUGGCAUGUUGGUCCUCUGCUCACAAUUGUGUGCUGAGGUUGGGCUAGGCUAAGGGAUCCCAUUUGAGAUGACAGAAAUGUAUUUUAAAAAGAACACAGAGUAUGGGAGAAGUAAGAACAUAGAAAUUAUGAAUACCAACAAUCUAUUCAAAAUAGAAGCUCUGUUUAGAAAAGUCAGUCUCUCAGUUUUGCUUGGAUGCCUCUAGUGACCAGGAGCACAUUGCUGUCUGAGGUGCCUGUUCUGUUGUGAGAUCUUGCUGGUUACUAAUAAGGUCUUUCUUGGAUGAACAUAUACCUUCCUCAUGGGUAUGUUCUUAAGCUAGUCAUAGUUCUACUCUGAUCCAGGUUAGUGGUUUUCAAACACAGAAAUGUGAUUCGUCCCUCAGAAAACAUUUGGCAAAGUUUGCAGACAUUUCUGGUUGUCACAGUUACCAAAAAUGCUACUGACGUCUAGGCAAAGAGGCCAGGAGCACUGUUAAGCAUUGUAUAAGGCACAAAACAACCCUGCAACUAAGAAUUAUCUAGUUCAAAUGUCAACAGAGCCAAGACAGAGAAACUCUGAUCUAGUCCAACCUCUACUAGACUCCAUAGCCCCUCACAUAUUUGAAAGGGACUCUAUUAUUUCUUCCAAGCCUUCUUUCUGCUAAAUACCUUCAGGUUUCUCAUUAUUAUGCAUGAAAUAAUUUAUCAGCUUAUGAUGACUAUGCUUCAAUGUCUUCUUGUCUCUUGCUAAUUGCCUCCACUAGAAGGGCACACUAUCCAUUAGAUCUUACAGAAAUCCAGAGGAUUCUUAAUCCCCAUGAUCACAGCACCACAUGUAUUCAAUGCACUGUCAAGUACCCAUAAACCAUCACUAGAAGCAUGAAAGAGUCUGGUGUCUUAGAUCACCAUGUAGAUUCACCAAAACUCCAUGCUAUUUAUAUGAUGGUAGUAUUAAAUAGCAGUAGUAGCAAAGUAACGCUUACUAUUUAUUGAGUACUGAUGAUAUGCCAGGCACCCUGCUAAGGGCUUCAUAUACAUUAUCUCAUUUAAUCCUCCUAGCAGUCCCAUGAGGUAGGCUGUGUUAUCAUCAUUUUGCAGAUGAAGAAACCAUUCUUUGAUGAAACAUUUGUCUAAGGUCAUAGAACUGGGAAUCAGAUUGGCCAGGACUCAAACCCAAGUCUGCCCACCCUCAAACCCAGGCUCUCAACCCCCACAAUGUGCUCCUCAAAACAGGGAUAAAAUGGCACAGUUCACAAAAGACUAGCAAACUACUGGGGAGUAGUUAAUGCAUCCAUUUUAACAUGCAUGUGCAUAACUUGGUGGGAGGUCUCACUCCUUUGCAACCUAAGCAUUCUGG